rnacentral:rRNA from 1 species
CAGUCGCCGCGGUAAUACGUAGGGUGCGAGCGUUAAUCGGAAUUACUGGGCGUAAAGCGUGCGCAGGCGGUUGUGUAAGACAGGUGUGAAAUCCCCGGGCUUAACCUGGGAACUGCGCUUGUGACUGCACAGCUAGAGUAUGGCAGAGGGGGGUGGAAUUCCACGUGUAGCAGUGAAAUGCGUAGAGAUGUGGAGGAACACCGAUGGCGAAGGCAGCCCCCUGGGCCGAUACUGACGCUCGUGCACGAAAGCGUGGUGAGCAAACAGGAUUAGAUACCCCCGUAGUCCCUGUCUCUUAUAC